GUAGUCUCGCACAGAUGCAUAUCAAUAAGCGGAGGAAAAGAAACUAACAAGGAUUCCCCUAGUAACGGCGAGUGAAGCGGGAAGAGCUCAAAUUUGAAAUCUUAAAGGGUUUCCCUUUACGAAUUGUAGUUUAAAGAAGUGUUUUCUGUUGAGGUUUUGGUAAAAGUUCUUUGGAAUAGGACAUCAUAGAGGGUGAGAAUCCCGUAUUUGACCUUUACUUUCAACUUUGUGAUACACUUUCAAAGAGUCGGAUUGUUUGGGAAUGCAGUCCCAAAAUGGGUGGUAAAUUUCAUCUAAAGCUAAAUAUUGGCGAGAGACCGAUAGCGAACAAGUACCGUGAGGGAAAGAUGAAAAGAACUUUGAAAAGAGAGUUAAACAGUACGUGAAAUUGUCAAAAGGGAAGCGUUUGACACCAGUGUUGUUUUUCUGAAAAUCAAUUAAAGAACUGUUUAUGCUAAGCUGUUUAGACUUUAUCAGCUAAUCUGUUUAGUUUUGAGCUUUUCUUUAAUGCACUUUUCAGUUAACAAGUCAACAUCAAUUUCUUUUGCUGUAAAAAAGCUUGAGGAAGGUGGCUUGAGAUUCGUCUUAAGUGUUUAUAGCCUCUUGCCUAUGCAGUCGGAGAGAUUGAGGUCUGCAGCGUAGAUCCUUCGGGGCUAAAUGCAUUUGUGCUAAGUUAUAGCAUUUUAUAGACAACUUGUUGACUAUGAUUUGUCUUGUAGCUUACUCGCUUAUGUUAUUUUACCUACGCUUAGGAUGUUGACGCAUGAGAUAUACGC
rnacentral:rRNA from 1 species